UACAGACGGUAUGCCUGUGUUGGUCCUGUAGCCCUAGUGGCGCUGUGCCUAUUUAUUGGGUAUGGCAUUGUGUGCGAUUCAACUACUAACGGCGCGGAUAAUAGAUUAAACAAAAUGGCGAUAAUUGAAGUUUCUGAGGUAGAUCGCGGUGGUCUCCUCAGAACUUGACACAUUUUCUCUACGUGUCGGUCUGGGCUGAAUAGCGGAUGCUAAUGUGCCGUAGCCGUCGACAAGAUUAUUUACUAUGGUUUUUUAUGACACUAAUAUGCUCUAUCCCGGAGGAUAUAAAUGGAGCUUACUAAUUUAACGAUUUUACGACGCGUGAUCCUUUCGGAUUUAAUCUACGCUGACUUUACUGUUCUUACGCGGCACUUCUCGGUGAAUUUAGACUUAGUCUGUUCGAAUACUUAAAUUGAUCUGAAAUGUGUUAUUUAACUAAUUGUAAUCCGAUAUUUAUUAGCGAGAAGCGCUAAUCCUCUAUCGGAUUAUUUUUCUAUUACUUUUCGCGGAUUUACUUUCGGGAGACAUUUUUCAUCUAUUGGCUAGUGUUGACACCAGCCGCGCGUCCUUGUCGUCUAUUUGUAACGAGUGCCCUCUCAGUACAGGAGUACUGAGAGGUUGGUCGUUUUGUCGCAUUACAAUAUAUUUAUUGAAAAUUUGGGAAUUUUUCAGCUUUGCUAAUCGGCACUCCACGAAAAAAUCAUAAAAAGUUCUCAGGUACAACAUUGAAUGAUUACCCAUUAUUACACCGAGGACAUGACUCAGAAACGGGGAGUUUUUAUUUCUUAAGAGUGCCGUAGGAUGUACCAUCCGUUGUACAGCUUCAGAGAAGCAGAUCUGAGAUCUCUACAUCUAAGUCUAGAUCUGAAUAUAAAUGGUGAAUUGGACGAAAGGACAAAUAUUGCAUUUAUAAUUUGAAAAUGAUUAAGAUAAUCAAAGAGAACGAGACAGCAGACAAAUUUGAAUUUCGAGAAAGCGAUUUCGAGUGUAUAUGCAAGGAAUGGUUCCGACUGGAAAACCAAAGAUAUACUCGUGAAGAAAAAAAAAACGUAUUAAUAACUGAUCUCGCAAAAUCUUCGUAGGCUUGUAUGUACAAGUAUCCAUUAAACAUUAUAACUUCAUAUAUUUUCUAUUGUUGUGCCGUAACGUCUCGGUG